UACAUCAGUGUUAUGUUAUUUUUAUGACUUCAUCUUUAUACAGUCGGGUUCGGGUUCGGCGGCCAUAGCGAAUUUCGGCGAGAUUUUACCCCAGUGAAAAAGGCUUGUAAUCUACCUUUCCUCAAACCUGGAAGAUAUGUUUUGUUCCUAACCAAUCCAUUCUCUAAGUGAAGUGAAGCCUGGCUGUUGGUCUUCCUUUGGGAAAUAUACAGUGAAAUAACUAACAUAAAAACAAAAACUUGAAUCUAAAAAAAAAAGUUUCAAUGAGAUAUCAUUUUAAUUUAUUUCAUUAUUAUUAUUAAGAUAAUUAUUUAAAAUGUUUAUAUUUUUAAAAUGGAAUAAAAAAAAUAAAAUCUGAUAAUGGAAAUCAAUACUAUAAAGAUAGCAAGUUUUGACUCCAAUUACUGAUGAAUUUCUGAAUUUUCCAUUAAAAUAUUUGACAUUAUAUCACAGGGGAAAAGAAAAAAAAACUACUUGAGUGUUUCUACUGACCCCCCCCCCCCCCAGAGAUCUGCUUAUGAGUGCAUGGGGAUUGCGGUGGACCUUCAUCUCCUGUUUAAAACAGACAUUAGAGUAUGACAGAUAAAAAGUAGAAUCCAUGACCCCCCACAGGCAGGGAGCUGGCUCUGACAGUAGAAUGAGCUGAAAGUAGGAGAAAAGCAGUAUUUAUACAGUGGAUGACGUCACAAUGCAUAGGUAAGCAUAU